rnacentral:rRNA from 1 species
AAAUACUUAGUGGCGGACGGGUGAGUAACGCGUGAGAAUCUACCUUCAGGACGGAGACAACAGUUGGAAACGACUGCUAACCCCCGAUGUACCGAAAGGGCAAAUAUUUAUAGCCUGAAGAAGAGCUCGCGUCCGAUUAGCUAGUUGGAGAGGUAAAAGCUCACCAAGGCGACGAUCGGUAGCUGGUCUGAGAGGACGAUCAGCCACACUGGGACUGAGACACGGCCCAG